rnacentral:sRNA from 1 species
GCCGGGCUCUAUAGCGCAUGCCUGUAAUCCCAGAGACUUGGGAGGCUGAGACAGGAGGAUUGCAAGUUCAAGAUCAACCUCAGUAACUUAAUGGGACCCUAGACACAGCAAGAUCUUGUCUCAA